CUUCAGCAUAAACAUCUGUUACAUAGAUUCCUGACAUUCUGCCAAUGCUAGCUGCCAUCAACUUAAUGUCAUAUGCUGAAGAGAAGUGAUGGCAAGACCACAUGGACAGAAAUUUGCUGCUAGUUGCAUAUGCAAACAAAGGAUUUUAAUCUUCUAUUCACUAUGUAAAUCCUAUUGGCAGUAACGGGAGUUAUUCAGGCAUACUUAGAGAACAGAAAUCCUGAGACUUGCUUGAGGACAGUUGGUGGCUGCUGCUUCACAGUGGGGGAGUGAGAGGGACAGGGAGCUGGGUCCUGGCAGCUGAGACUGCCUGACUGCUGCAGCAACAGGCUUGCAAGGAGGGAAGCCUUCGUCACUGCUACAUUGUGACAUAAUAGCUACCUGCUUAGCUUUCUCCUUCAAGACAAUAAGCUGGGAUCUGUUGAAACUCAUCACAGUCGCAAGGAAUUCCACGUUUUUGGUAAAAGUAUCUGUAUCCAGGCACUGCAGUUCCUGAA